AGUAACGGCGAGUGAAGCGGUAAUAGCUCAAAUUUGAAAUCUGGCCUCUCGGGGUCCGAGUUGUAAUUUGUAGAGGAUGUUUUGGGUACCGCCCCGGUCUAAAUUUCUUGGAACAGAAUGUCAAAGAGGGUGAGAAUCCCGUCUUGGACCGGCGGUAGGGCCUGUGUAAAACUCCUUUGACGAGUCGAGUUGUUUGGGA
rnacentral:rRNA from 1 species